CUUUCUUUGCUGGCGACCGGCGCACGGGUGAGUAACACGUAUCCAACCUGCCCUUUACUCGGGGAUAGCCUUUCGAAAGAAAGAUUAAUACCCGAUGGCAUAGUGAUUCCGCAUGGUUUCAUUAUUAAAGGAUUCCGGUAAAGGAUGGGGAUGCGUUCCAUUAGGUUGUUGGUGAGGUAACGGCCCACCAAGCCUUCGAUGGAUAGGGGUUCUGAGAGGAAGGUCCCCCACAUUGGAACUGAGACACGGUCCAA
rnacentral:rRNA from 1 species